CAGCAGCCGCGGUAAUACGUAGGGUGCAAGCGUUAAUCGGAAUUACUGGGCGUAAAGCGUGCGCAGGCGGUUAUAUAAGUCAGAUGUGAAAUCCCCGGGCUCAACCUGGGAACUGCAUUUGAGACUGUAUGGCUAGAGUGUGUCAGAGGGAGGUAGAAUUCCACGUGUAGCAGUGAAAUGCGUAGAGAUGUGGAGGAAUACCGAUGGCGAAGGCAGCCUCCUGGGAUAACACUGACGUUCAUGCCCGAAAGCGUGGGUAGCAAACAGGAUUAGAUACCCGCGUAGUCCCUGUCUCUUAUAC
rnacentral:rRNA from 1 species